rnacentral:rRNA from 1 species
UACGGGGGGGGCAAGCGUUGUUCGGAAUUACUGGGCGUAAAGGGCUCGUAGGCGGCCAACUAAGUCGGACGUGAAAUCCCUCGGCUUAACCGGGGAACUGCGUCCGAUACUGGAUGGCUUGAGUUCGGGAGAGGGAUGCGGAAUUCCAGGUGUAGCGGUGAAAUGCGUAGAUAUCUGGAGGAACACCGGUGGCGAAGGCGGCAUCCUGGACCAACACUGACGCUGAUGAGCGAAAGCCAGGGGAGCAAACGGG